rnacentral:lncRNA from 1 species
AAAUUCUUGAAAAUUUGAUGUUACCUCUAAGGCGUCUGGAUGGUGCAUUGAAGAUCCUUCUGGUAUGGCAGCCGAAGGGUGGGACCAUUCGGGAAGCUGCUGAAACUGCUUUACCCAGGUCGUCUGACCGGCCUCCUCCUCUGCUUGUUGCCCGGGCUCCAAAGAAGUUCUGGGCUAUUGAGGGGUUCGCUCUAACUUCACCUUUUUCCGCAGAGAAAAAGGGAAUUUCCUCGAUGCCCCUGUUGUCCUCUUUUGAUAUAAAUGGGAGUGGCGCCGGCGCUCAGCUUGUUGUUCUUUUUGAUGUGAAGUACUAGUAUUACGUGAGACUGGGAUCUGCUGCACUCAGUCAGGUCUCCAGCGAUUUCUUC